rnacentral:rRNA from 1 species
GUGGGGAAUAUUGCACAAUGGGCGCAAGCCUGAUGCAGCGACGCCGCGUGGAGGAUGAAGGCUUUCGAGUUGUAAACUCCUGUUAAGUGGGAAGAAAGACUCCUGGUGAAUAAUCAGGGGGGAUGACGGUACCACUAGAGAAAGCACCGGCAAACUUCGUGCCAGCAGCCGCGGUAAUACGAAGGGUGCAAGCGUUAUUCGGAGUUACUGGGCGUAAAGAGUAUGUAGGCGGUUUGUUAAGUUAGUUGUUAAAUACCACGGCUUAACUGUGGAACGGCAGCUAAAACUGGCAAGCUAGAGCGCAGAAGAGAGGAGUGGAAUUCCCGGAGUAGCGGUAAAAUGCGUAGAUCUCGGGAGGAACACCGGUUGCGAAGGCGGCUUCUUGGUCUGUGGCUGACGCUAAAGUACGAAAGCGUGGGGAGCAAACAGGAUUAGAUACCCUAGUAGUCC